UACGAAGGGGGCUAGCGUUGCUCGGAAUCACUGGGCGUAAAGGGUGCGUAGGCGGGUCUUUAGUCAGGGGUGAAAUCCUGGAGCUCAACUCCAGAACUGCCUUUGAUACUGAGGAUCUUGAGUUCGGGAGAGGUGAGUGGAACUGCGAGUGUAGAGGUGAAAUUCGUAGAUAUUCGGCAAGAACACCAGUGGCGAAGGCGGCUCACUGGCCCGGGUACUGACGCUGACGGUGCGAAAGCG
rnacentral:rRNA from 1 species